rnacentral:rRNA from 1 species
UACGAAGGGGGCUAGCGUUGUUCGGAAUUACUGGGCGUAAAGCGUAGGUAGGUGGUUUUCUAAGUCAGGGGUGAAAUGCCGAAGCUUAACUUCGGAACUGCCCUUGAAACUGGAAGACUAGAGAGAGUUAGAGGCAAGUGGAAUUCCUAGUGUAGGAGUGAAAUCCGUAGAUAUUAGGAGGAACAUCAAUGGCGAAGGCAGCUUGCUGGGACUCUUCUGACACUGAGCUACGAAAGCGUGGGUAGCAAACAGG